UACGUAGGGGGGCAAGCGUUGUCCGGAUUUAUUGGGCGUAAAGAGCGUGUAGGCGGUUCGGUAGGUCCGUUGUGAAAACUCGAGCUCAACCUCGAGACGCCGAUGGAAACCCUCGAACUAGAGUCCGGAAGAGGAGAAUGGAAUUCCUGGUGUAGCGGUGAAAUGCGCAGAUAUCAGGAAGAACACCCGUGGCUAAGGCGGUUCUCUAGUACGGUACUGACGCUGAGACGCGAAAGCGUGGGGAGCGAACAGG
rnacentral:rRNA from 1 species